ensembl:lncRNA
CGGGGAAGUAAAUCCGUCUCACGUGUAACCCAAGUGACCUCAGGUCUAUGCGUGCUCUCUGGCUGUAAGUCAUUGUGAAGCUCUGAAACAUCACUGAGGGCUUUUCACAAUUAUAAUAUAACAUUUAUAGCGAAAAGUGACUAGUGGCAUAUUUAAAUGGCCGAGAUCCAGGAGCUCUCUCCAGACUCUGGCAGUGGGGAGACACGACCCCCCGAAGACGAGAUCGAGGGUGAUGAUGAGGACGAAGAGGUACUUGAUUGCUUCUACAGUUUUGCUUGACUUUAUGAAAUUGUCAAGAUAUAGGAAAUUUUGGAUGAAACCCUGUUGGAGAGGUUGUGGGGUCUCACGGAGAUGUUUCCAGAAUCUUUGCGAUCAGCAGCUGAAGUAUCCGCACAGAGUUCGCUGUCUGUAGCCAAAAAACUUUACAGUUUCUCCCGCUCAGCUCUAUGGGUCGGUACUACUUCCUUCAUGAUUCUGGUUCUGCCAGUUGUAUUUGAGACUGAGAGGUUACAGCUGGAACAGCAACAACUACAACAGCAGAGACAGAAAUCUCCACCAAUCAGAGAAUCAUGAAAAGCAAAUGCCAAAAGAGCUGUACACUGGCAUAAAACACUGCUAAUGACGUAACAGGGUCAGUCUCCCUAUGCAACAACAUUCAGUAUUUUUCCAUUGUUUUAAUUCGGAUGUAUGUUAUUUGCAAUGCUUCAUAGGAUUUGUAGUUCUUUCGUACGCAGUCUUUUUGUCUUAUUUUCAAAUGCUUUUUUGCUUCAAAUCAAAGUUUGUGAUGUUAUUUACCUUACUGAAAAGCAUGCAUAUUAUGUGACUUUUUCAUUGAAAUAUGAAUUCAUUUCUUAUUUCCUUUUCCUUUCCUGCUUUUAAUAGAUUUUGUUGGGUCCAAAUGCUGGCAUGUCUGGAGGAAUGCCUGGAAUGAUGCCUCCUGCUCCUGGGAAGCUGUGAUGUAUAUAUUGUAACAUCCGUGAGUUGUAGAAGAAGAAGGAGAAAGAGAGAGGGAGCAAGAACUGGAGAAAGAAAGAAGUCGUUACUUUGUAUAGUUUCUGUGUACACUGGAGACCUUGAUAACUUUUAUGAACUUCCCUCUCUCUCUGCCUUUCUCACAGAAACAUCCUGCACAUGUCGUCCAAGCUCUGAUAUUUUACUUUUUUUUUUUUAUUAUAGCUAUCUAAUAACAUUUCUUUCAGAAAGAGUCUAUAACAGCUGUUGGGGAAAACUUUGACUGUGUUGUAGGUGCAUUAUAUUUCUAAGAGAGUGUUUACGGUGCAGUGUGGGCCAUAGUAACACCGGAUCAACACUGACGUGCAGAGAAUCUAUAACAGCAUUCAGCGUUUAUGAGGGCACGCAAGGCCAAUAUUGAUUGUGAAAUUUUCUUGGUCUACAGAUUAUGGUUUUUCUUGUUUUUUUUUUUUUUUUUUUUUUGUUCCUGUUCCAUAAAUGUUAAAACCUUUAGAAGUGGUUCUCUGCCAACAGUGUCUUUUAAGGUGAUGGUACACUGGUUAACUUUUUUGAGCAAUGUUGCUUGGGCCACUUUCCCAUUAAGAAUGGGCAGCAGAUUUCUUGAUACUUUAGAUCGUUUAUGUGCCCUGUGUCUCAGCUGGUUGCCCAUUAACAGCAACAUUGCUCAAAAAGUUGCCCAGUGUAUCAUCACCCUAAACUAAUACCAUGCAAAGCUACUGCAAUGUUAUUCCUCAGACAAAAGCCAUACAGUGUGCAGAACCGUUGUGAAAUAAUUAAGAAAGAAUGUUUGAAAACAGUGUACUUCAGUGAAUAAUAAUGUUUGCUCCACAUGACAGGAAUAAAAACAAGUUCUCCAAUGUCCUUGUCUUUUGUCUAUACUCUUUAUUACAUAAUAUACUUUUUUUCUGAUACUUGAGUAGAACCAGACUGGUGAAGUGCACCU